CACAAUAUAAAAGCAGAUUUUCCUUGUAGGAGGAGGAAGACCAGAGGAGGCCUGGAAUCCUCUACCAGCACCAGAGCAGAUACCACUCAAGAUGUUAAACUGACAGCAGCUCUAGUCUAUAUGGAUCAAGGAUUAAAGAAAAAGCCUGACAAAAUCAGCAGAGAUCAUCCCUUCAGUCUUGGUUCCUUUGGGAGAGAAAGGGUGGUUGGACCCUCCCUCCAACCCUAGCAAAGAACUUUUAAAUAUGUGUUCUUUUAUAGAACAUGUAUGUAAAGUAAAAUUAAAUAUUUUAACUUCGUGGCAUCUCA